rnacentral:rRNA from 1 species
AGGGAAACCGAGUCUUAACUGGGCGUUAAGUUGCAGGGUAUAGACCCGAAACCCGGUGAUCUAGCCAUGGGCAGGUUGAAGGUUGGGUAACACUAACUGGAGGACCGAACCGACUAAUGUUGAAAAAUUAGCGGAUGACUUGUGGCUGGGGGUGAAAGGCCAAUCAAACCGGGAGAUAGCUGGUUCUCCCCGAAAGCUAUUUAGGUAGCGCCUCGUGAACUCAUCUUCGGGGGUAGAGCACUGUUUCGGCUAGGGGGUCAUCCCGACUUACCAACCCGAUGCAAACUGCGAAUACCGAAGAAUGUUAUCACGGGAGACACACGGCGGGUGCUAACGUCCGUCGUGAAGAGGGAAACAACCCAGACCGCCAGCUAAGGUCCCAAAGUCACAGUUAAGUGGGAAACGAUGUGGGAAGGCUCAGACAGCCAGGAUGUUGGCUUAGAAGCAGCCAUCAUUUAAAGAAAGCGUAAUAGCUCACUGGUCGAGUCGGCCUGCGCGGAAGAUGUAACGGGGCUAAACUGUGCACCGAAGCUGCGGCAGCGACGCUUAUGCGUUGUUGGGUAGGGGAGCGUUCUGUAAGCCUGCGAAGGUGUCCUGUGAGGGAUGCUGGAGGUAUCAGAAGUGCGAAUGCUGACAUAAGUAACGAUAAUGCGGGUGAAAAGCCCGCUCGCCGGAAGACCAAGGGUUCCUGUCCAACGUUAAUCGGGGCAGGGUGAGUCGACCCCUAAGGCGAGGCCGAAAGGCGUAGUCGAUGGGAAACGGGUUAAUAUUCCCGUACUUGGUGUUACUGCGAAGGGGGGACGGAGAAGGCUAUGUUGGCCGGGCGACGGUUGUCCCGGUUUAAGCGUGUAGGCUGGUUUUCCAGGCAAAUCCGGAAAAUCAAGGCUG